rnacentral:rRNA from 1 species
AUUGAACGCUGGCGGCAGGCCUAACACAUGCAAGUCGAACGGUAACAGGAAGAAGCUUGCUUCUUUGCUGACGAGUGGCGGACGGGUGCGUAAUGUCUGGGAAACUGCCUGAUGGAGGGGGAUAACUACUGGAAACGGUAGCUAAUACCGCAUAACGUCGCAAGACCAAAGAGGGGGACCUUCGGGCCUCUUGCCAUCGGAUGUGCCCAGAUGGGAUUAGCUAGUAGGUGGGGUAACGGCUCACCUAGGCGACGAUCCCUAGCUGGUCUGAGAGGAUGACCAGCCGCACUGGAACUGAGACACGGUCCAGACUCCUACGGGAGGCAGCAGUGGGGAAUAUUGCACAAUGGGCGCAAGCCUGAUGCAGCCAUGCCGCGUGUAUGAAGAAGGCCUUCGGGUUGUAAAGUACUUUCAGCGGGGAGGAAGGGAGUAAAGUUAAUACCUUUGCUCAUUGACGUUACCCGCAGAAGAAGCACCGGCUAACUCCGUG